rnacentral:RNase_P_RNA from 1 species
GCGGUGUAUUGGAUAAUCGCGUCCGACAGCUCAAGAGCUGUCGAGAUGAGGAAAGUCCGAACUCUUAUUCACCUUCGGGUGUCUAAAAGGACAGCGGGUAACCCCCGUCCAUGGCCCUUCGGCUAGCUCAGGGUACUGAGUUCACCGAAGUACAACAUGAGAGGUGCGAGCAGAGACGCUUUGACAGGCAACUGUUGAAGAAGCUAACCCUAAAUUCUUGAUUUAUCAGGAGUUACAGCUUAGCUCUGACAAAGGGGAAAAUGUCAGAGGUGAAACGGCUAAAUCCUUGUUCGGGAGCAAGAGCAGCGUUUCUUCGAUGAUUCGGGAUCUUUGUCCUGAGCUUGUCGAAGGGCGAAAAGUUCGCUCGCUAGAACCAGCCAGUAAUGGCUGGUCCAGAUAAAUGAUUAUCUCCGCCAGUCGGCGGAACAGAAUUCGGCUUAUAGAUACACCGCGCAA